rnacentral:rRNA from 1 species
UACGUAGGGUGCAAGCGUUGUCCGGAAUUAUUGGGCGUAAAGGGCUCGUAGGCGGUUUGUCGCGUCGGGAGUGAAAACUCAGGGCUUAACCCUGAGCCUGCUUCCGAUACGGGCAGACUAGAGGUAUGCAGGGGAGAAUGGAAUUCCUGGUGUAGCGGUGAAAUGCGCAGAUAUCAGGAGGAACACCGGUGGCGAAGGCGGGUCUCUGGGCAGUAACUGACGCUGAGGAGCGAAAGCGUGGGGAGCGAACAGG